AAUUCUCAACCUUUCUGGUUUUUAUUAACUAGUUUGGCUUGGAUUGUGGGAGUUGCUGGCUUCUAAGAAGUCAGCUCUUCUUAAAUGCAUUAGCAAAAUCUUUGCUGACCAUCCUUUGGUGUGAUAAUUAUCUACGUCAUUGAGAAUCAGCUUUUGUGGAUUUAGCUUCUAAUCGUCUUUUUCUUGAGACAACUUAUGACA
rnacentral:misc_RNA from 1 species